rnacentral:rRNA from 1 species
CAAACGACUCUCGGCAACGGAUAUCUCGGCUCUCGCAUCGAUGAAGAACGUAGCGAAAUGCGAUACUUGGUGUGAAUUGCAGAAUCCCGUGAACCAUCGAGUYUUUGAACGCAAGUUGCGCCCGAAGCUUCGGCUAAGGGCACGCCUGCCUGGGUGUCACACAU